rnacentral:rRNA from 1 species
UACGUAGGGGGCGAGCGUUGUCCGGAAUCAUUGGGCGUAAAGCGCGCGCAGGCGGCCGCGAGAGCCCGGCGUGAAAGCCCCCGGCUCAACCGGGGGAGGCCGUCGGGGACCUCGUGGCUGGAGGCCGGCAGGGGUGAGUGGAAUUCCCGGUGUAGUGGUGGAAUGCGUAGAGAUCGGGAGGAACACCAGUGGCGAAGGCGGCUCACUGGGCCGGACCUGACACUGAGGUGCGAAAGCUAGGGUAGCAAACGGG